GGGUGAGUAAACCGUAGGUAAUCUACCUUUGGGUGGGGAAUAACAACCGGAAACGGUUGCUAAUACCGCAUAAUGCAGCGGCACCGCAUGGUGACAGUUGUUAAAGCGGGGGAUCGCAAGACCUCGCGCCUAAAGAGGAGCCUGUGGCGGAUUAGCUAGUUGGCAGGGUAACGGCCUACCAAGGCGACGAUCCGUAGCCGGCCUGAGAGGAUGAUCAGCCACAUUGGGACUGAGACACGGCCAAACUCCUACGGGAGGCAGCAGUGGGGAAUAUUGGACAAUGGGCGCAAGCCUGAUCCAGCCAUGCCGCGUGAGUGAUGAAGGCCCUAGGGUUGUAAAGCUCUUUCACCGGUGAAGAUAAUGACGGUAACCGGAGAAGAAGCCCCGGCUAACUUCGUGCCAGCAGCCGCGGUAAUACGGAAGGGGCAAGCGUGUCCGGAAUCAUCGGAGCGUACAGGGCGCGUAGCGGCUUUUCAAAGUG
rnacentral:rRNA from 1 species